rnacentral:rRNA from 1 species
GAUGAACGCUGGCGGCGUGCCUAAUACAUGCGAGUCGAGCGAACAGACGAGGAGCUUGCUCCUCUGACGUUAGCGGCGGACGGGUGAGUAACACGUGGAUAACCUACCUAUAAGACUGGGAUAACUUCGGGAAACCGGAGCUAAUACCGGAUAAUAUAUUGAACCGCAUGGUUCAAUAGUGAAAGACGGUUUUGCUGUCACUUAUAGAUGGAUCCGCGCCGCAUUAGCUAGUUGGUAAGGUAACGGCUUACCAAGGCAACGAUGCGUAGCCGACCUGAGAGGGUGAUCGGCCACACUGGAACUGAGACACGGUCCAGACUCCUACGGGAGGCAGCAGUAGGAAUCUUCCGCAAUGGGCGAAAGCCUGACGGAGCAACGCCGCGUGAGUGAUGAAGGUCUUCGGAUCGUAAAACUCUGUUAUUAGGGAAGAACAAAUGUGUAAGUAACUAUGCACGUCUUGACGGUACCUAAUCAGAAAGCCACGGCUAACUACGUG